rnacentral:rRNA from 1 species
AGUGAACGCUGGCGGCAGGCCUAACACAUGCAAGUCGAACGAGUGGCGGCCGGGUGAGGAAUACAUCGGAAUCUACUCUGUCGUGGGGGUUAACGUAGGGAAACUUACGCUAAUACCGCAUACGAUUGAAUGAGCCGAUGUCGGAUUAGCUAGUUGGUGGGGUAAAGGCCUAACAAGGCGACGAUCCGUAACUGGUCUGAGAGGAUGAUCAGUCACACUGGAACUGAGACACGGGCCAGACUCCUACGUGAGGCAGCAGUGGGGAAUAUUGGACAAUGGGCGAAAGGCUGAUCCAGCCAUGCCGCGUGUGUGAAGAAGGUCUUCGGAUUGUAAAGCACUUUAAGUUGGGAGGCGUUACCCGCAGAAGAAGCACCGGCUAACUCCGUGCCAGCAGCCGCGGUAAUAC